CCUGGCGGCCUUAGCGCGGUGGUCCCACCUCACCCCAUGCCGAACUCAGAAGUGAAACGCCGUAGCGCCGGU
rnacentral:rRNA from 1 species